rnacentral:rRNA from 1 species
CGUACACUCCUACGGGAGGCAGCAGUGGGGAAUAUUGCACAAUGGGCGCAAGCCUGAUGCAGCCAUGCCGCGUGUAUGAAGAAGGCCUUCGGGUUGUAAAGUACUUUCAGCGGGGAGGAAGGCGAUAAGGUUAAUAACCUUGUUGAUUGACGUUACCCGCAGAAGAAGCACCGGCUAACUCCGUGCCAGCAGCCGCGGUAAUACGGAGGGUGCAAGCGUUAAUCGGAAUUACUGGGCGUAAAGCGCACGCAGGCGGUCUGUCAAGUCGGAUGUGAAAUCCCCGGGCUCAACCUGGGAACUGCAUUCGAAACUGGCAGGCUAGAGUCUUGUAGAGGGGGGUAGAAUUCCAGGUGUAGCGGUGAGAUGCGUAGAGAUCUGGAGGAAUACCGGUGGCGAAGGCGGCCCCCUGGACAAAGACUGACGCUCAGGUGCGAAAGCGUGGGGAGCAAACAGGAUUAGAUACCCGAGUAGUCCCAU